GACUCGUCACACUAUCAUUAACUGAAUCCAUAGGUUAAUGAGGCGAACCGGGGGAACUGAAACAUCUAAGUACCCCGAGGAAAAGAAAUCAACCGAGAUUCCCCCAGUAGCGGCGAGCGAACGGGGAGGAGCCCAGAGCCUGAAUCAGCAUGUGUGUUAGUGGAAGCGUCUGGAAAGGCGCGCGAUACAGGGUGACAGCCCCGUACACAAAAGCGCAUGUGCUGUGAGCUCGAUGAGUAGGGCGGGACACGUGGUAUCCUGUCUGAAUAUGGGGGGACCAUCCUCCAAGGCUAAAUACUCCUGACUGACCGAUAGUGAACCAGUACCGUGAGGGAAAGGCGAAAAGAACCCCGGCGAGGGGAGUGAAAAAGAACCUGAAACCGUGUACGUACAAGCAGUGGGAGCACCCUUUGGGGUGUGACUGCGUACCUUUUGUAUAAUGGGUCAGCGACUUAUAUUCUGUAGCAAGGUUAACCGUAUAGGGGAGCCGGAGGGAAACCGAGUCUUAACCGGGCGUUAAGUUGCAGGGUAUAGACCCGAAACCCGGUGAUCUAGCCAUGGGCAGGUUGAAGGUUGGGUAACACUAACUGGAGGACCGAACCGACUAAUGUUGAAAAAUUAGCGGAUGACCUGUGGCUGGGGGUGAAAGGCCAAUCAAACCGGGAGAUAGCUGGUUCUCCCCGAAAGCU
rnacentral:rRNA from 1 species